rnacentral:tRNA from 1 species
GGGGGUAUAGCUCAGUGGUAGAGCAUUCGAUUGCAAAACGAGAGGUCCCCGGUUCAAACCCGGAUGCUACCU